CCUACGGGAGGCAGCAGUGAGGAAUAUUGGUCAAUGGACGAGAGUCUGAACCAGCCAAGUAGCGUGAAGGAUGACUGCCCUAUGGGUUGUAAACUUCUUUUAUAUGGGUAUAAAAUGUUCCACGUGUGGGAUUUUGUAUGUACCAUAUGAAUAAGGAUCGGCUAACUCCGUGCCAGCAGCCGCGGUAAUACGGAGGAUCCGAGCGUUAUCCGGAUUUAGUGGGUUUAAAGGGAGCGUAGGUGGAUUGUUAAGUCAGUUGUGAAAGUUUGCGGCUCAACCGUAAAAUUGCAGUUGAAACUGGCAGUCUUGAGUACAGUAGAGGUGGGCGGAAUUCGUGGUGUAGCGGUGAAAUGCUUAGAUAUCACGAAGAACUCCGAUUGCGAAGGCAGCUCACUGGACUGCAACUGACACUGAGGCUCGAAAGUGUGGGUAUCAAACAGGAUUAGAUACCCCAGUAGU
rnacentral:rRNA from 1 species